rnacentral:rRNA from 1 species
ACGUAGGGUCCGAGCGUUGUCCGGAGUUACUGGGCGUAAAGCGCGCGCAGGCGGCUGUAUAAGUCUGGCGUGAAAGCCCCCGGCUCAACCGGGGAGGGUCGUCGGAGACUGUAGAGCUUGAGGGCGGUAGGGGCUGGUGGAAUUCCCGGUGUAGUGGUGAAAUGCGUAGAGAUCGGGAGGAACACCUGUGGCGAAGGCGGCCAGCUGGGCCGACCCUGACGCUGAGGCGCGAAGGCGUGGGGAGCGAACGGGAUUAGAUACCCCGGUAGUCCACGCAGUAAACGAUGCAGACUAGGCGUGGGGGGACUUGACCCCCUCCGUGCCGGAGCGAACGCGGUAAGUCUGCCGCCUGGGGAGUACGGCCGCAAGGCUA